CCUGAGAAACCCAAAAGCUCGAAUGCGGAGAUUCAUCGUCAGCGAUACUGGUACGUGUGCGGUUCGCGAUGCGCCCUGACCUCGGUCCUGUGCCACGCGUCCGCAUGUUUUUAUUGCCUGGUAUCGUCGUCGUGCACUUCUCCGCUAGUAGGACGUCGCGACCCGUUGGGUGUCGGUCUACGGCCCGGGUGUUGUACGCCUGUCCCGUGUGCGCUUUACGGCGUCACCGCGGGGCAGACCCCGGCUGCCCGACCGGCUGCCCGGCGGUACUCAAAUGGUAUCUGGCCGCAAAUAUCUUAACUGCGUCCGGGCCGUCGCGAGCGAGGCGAGAUUUCCCGAAUGUACGGAUCUGAUGCCGUCAUCGGGGGUAGCCAGCUGUUGUUUGACGGUAUCCUAGGACUGGCUAUUAAAAUUGUGAUAUCGGUCAGCGACGCUUCUGCUUUGGGUACUUUCAGGACCCGUCUUGAAACACGGACCAAGGAGUCUAACAUGUGCGCGAGUCAUUGGGAUCUGUUAAGCCUAAAGGCGCAAUGAAAGUGAAGGUAGGCCUUGUGCCAACCGAGGGAGGAUGGGCCGCGUCACGAUGCGGUCCCGCACUCCCGGGGCGUCUCGUUCUCAUUACGAGAGGAGGCGCACCCAGAGCGUACACGUUGGGACCCGAAAGAUGGU
rnacentral:rRNA from 1 species